UGCUAAUACCGGAUAACAACAGAUGAUGCCUAUCAACUGUUUAAAAGAAUGGUUCUGCUAUCACUCUUGGAUGGACCUGCGGUGCAUUAGCUAGUUGGUAGGGUAACGGCCUACCAAGGCGAUGAUGCAUAGCCGAGUUGAGAGACUGAUCGGCCACAUUGGGACUGAGACACGGCCCAAACUCCUACGGGAGGCAGCAGG
rnacentral:rRNA from 1 species